rnacentral:tRNA from 1 species
AUGUCUUUUGCACAGCUCUGUGGUGCCGCCUUGGGGGCGGCAGAUUAUCUCGCUUUGGUAAGAGAGGCCAAGGUUCUGAUGCUUGAUGAUAUCCCA